rnacentral:rRNA from 1 species
AUUGAACGCUGGCGGCAUGCCUUACACAUGCAAGUCGAACGGCAGCACGGGUUCUUGCCCCUGGUGGCGAGUGGCGAACGGGUGAGUAAUACAUCGGAACAUGUCCUGUAGUGGGGGAUAGCCCGGCGAAAGCCGGAUUAAUACCGCAUACGAUCUACGGAUGAAAGCGGGGGACCUUCGGGCCUCGCGCUAUAGGGUUGGCCGAUGGCUGAUUAGCUAGUUGGUGGGGUAAAGGCCUACCAAGGCGACGAUCAGUAGCUGGUCUGAGAGGACGACCAGCCACACUGGGACUGAGACACGGCCCAGACUCCUACGGGAGGCAGCAGUGGGGAAUUUUGGACAAUGGGCGAAAGCCUGAUCCAGCAAUGCCGCGUGUGUGAAGAAGGCCUUCGGGUUGUAAAGCACUUUUGUCCGGAAAGAAAUCCUUGGCCCUAAUACGGUCGGGGGAUGACGGUACCGGAAGAAUAAGCACCGGCUAACUACGUG